rnacentral:rRNA from 1 species
UGUUAGGUUAUAGCAGCCCGUACCGUAAACCGACACAGGUAGUCGAGGAGAAUAUCCUAAGGCGCUCGAGUGAUCCGUGGUAAAGGAACUAGGCAAAUUGACGCUGUAACUUCGGGAUAAGGCGUGCCGCAGUGAUGCGGCCUCAGUAAAAUGGUCCAACCAACUGUUUAACAAAAACACAGGGCCCUGCAAAAUCGAAAGAUGACGUAUAGAGCCUGAUACCUGCCCGGUGCUGGAAGGUUAAGGAAGGAUGUUCGGCGCAAGCCAAAGCUUCUGACUGAAGCCCCAGUAAACGGCGGCCGUAACUAUAACGGUCCUAAGGUAGCGAAAUUCCUUGUCGGGUAAGUUCCGACCUGCACGAAUGGUCUAAUGAGUUGGACACUGUCUCUACCACGAGCUCGGUGAAAUUGUAGUAUCGGUGAAGAUGCCGGUUAAUCGCAACGGGACGGAAAGACCCCGUGAACCUUCACUACAACUUAACAUUGAUUUUGAAUGCCAGAUGUGUAGGAUAGUUGGGAGACUUUGAAGCAGCUUCGCUAGGAGUUGUGGAGUCGUCGUUGAAGUACCAACCUUCUGUUAUUUAGAGUCUAACUCCUGUAAGGGAGGACAUUGUUUGGUGGGUAGUUUGACUGGGGUGGUCGCCUCCUAAAAAGUAACGGAGGCUUGCAAAGGUACCCUCAGUACGGUUGGUAAUCGUACGCAGAGCGCAUUAGUAUAAGGGUGCUUGACUGUGAGGCAAACAAGCCGAGCAGGAGCGAAAGCUGGCUAAAGUGAUCCGGUGGUUCUGAAUGGAAGGGCCAUCGCUCAAAGGAUAAAAGGUACUCCGGGGAUAACAGGCUGAUCUCACCCAAGAGCUCAUAUCGACGGUGAGGUUUGGCACCUCGAUGUCGGUUCGUCACAUCCUGGGGCUGGAGAAGGUCCCAAGGGUUCGGCUGUUCGCCGAUUAAAGUGGCACGUGAACUGGGUUCAGAACGUCGCAAGACAGUUCGGUCCCUAUCUGUUGUGAUCGUUAGUAAAUUGAGAGGACAUGACCUUAGUACGAGAGGACCGGGUCGUACGUACCGCUGGUGUAUCUGUUGUGCCGCCAGGUGCAGUGCAGAGUAGCUAUGUACGGGCAAGAUAAACGCUGAAAGCAUCUAAGCGUGAAACUUACCUCGAGAUGAGUUUACUUUUAAGGGCCGUCGGAGACUACGACGUUGAUAGGCUACAGGUGUAAGGAUAGUAAUAUCGAAGCCGAGUAGUACUAAUUGCCCGUAAGCUUUA